rnacentral:rRNA from 1 species
GAGUUUGAUCGUGGCUCAGAUUGAACGCUGGCGGCAUGCCUAACACAUGCAAGUCGAACGGUAACGCGGGGGCAACCCUGGCGACGAGUGGCGGACGGGUGAGUAAUACGUAGGAAUCUGCCCAUUUGUGGGGGAUAACCCGGCGAAAGCCGGGCUAAUACCGCAUACGCUCUACGGAGGAAAGCGGGGGAUCGUAAGACCUCGCGCUAAUGGAUGAGCCUACGUCGGAUUAGCUAGUUGGUAGGGUAACGGCCUACCAAGGCGACGAUCCGUAGCUGGUCUGAGAGGACGAUCAGCCACACUGGGACUGAGACACGGCCCAGACUCCUACGGGAGGCAGCAGUGGGGAAUAUUGGACAAUGGGGGCAACCCUGAUCCAGCAAUGCCGCGUGUGUGAAGAAGGCCUGCGGGUUGUAAAGCACUUUCAGAGGGGAAGAAAAAUCGGAGCUAACACCUCCGAGCUUGACGUUACCCUUAGAAGAAGCACCGGCUAACUCCGUG